rnacentral:rRNA from 1 species
GCAGCAGCCGCGGUAAUACGGAGGGAGCUAGCGUUGUUCGGAAUUACUGGGCGUAAAGCGCGCGUAGGCGGUUACUCAAGUCAGAGGUGAAAGCCCGGGGCUCAACCCCGGAACUGCCUUUGAAACUAGGUGACUAGAAUCUUGGAGAGGUCAGUGGAAUUCCGAGUGUAGAGGUGAAAUUCGUAGAUAUUCGGAAGAACACCAGUGGCGAAGGCGACUGACUGGACAAGUAUUGACGCUGAGGUGCGAAAGCGUGGGGAGCAAACAGGAUUAGAUACCCCAGUAGUCCCUGUCUCUUAUAU